rnacentral:lncRNA from 1 species
GUCUCAUUCUGCUGUCCAGGCUGGAAUGCAGUGGCAUGAUCUUGGCUCUAAGCUUGCUACCUAAUCUAUGAUGGUAGUCUGCAUUUGAAAAAAAUUGUUGAGUAGACCAGACUGAAGGAAUACUCUAGAAUCCUAUCUCCUUUGUCUGCUAGGCCUUUCCCCCAGAAAUUCUGCAAGUUUUACCUCCUGGGUUCCAGUGAUUCUCCUGCCUCAGCCACCAGAGUAGCUGGGAUUACAAGUGCCCACCACCACACCUGAUUAAUUUUUGUAUUUUAGUGGAGAUGAGGUUUCACCAUGUUGGCCAGGCUGGUCUUAAACUCCUGCCUGGCUCUACUGCUGGGUAGACCUUGUCUUAAAGCAGAUCAUCACAUGGCAAAGUGGUGAUUCCACGUGCACUCUGGCCCUCUUCCUAACGGCUGUCAGUGGAGCCUGAGACCUCGUGAAAUCAACAAUGUGGCCAAGGUCCGAGCCGAGGAAAGUGAAGGCUGCUGUCAAAGAUAUCCUGCUGCAAACAGACGGGGGCUGGGCGCCCACCCUUCUCUUCCUGGGUUUCCAUCCUGCAACUUCCUGUGGCUGCUUUGAUGACAAGGCUCCACUUCCGAGAUCCCUGCAUUGACUCUCAGCCAAUGGAAGGGAAAGACUUCUUGAGUCUACACCAUGUAGCCAGAAGGUGGGUGACCUUGAUGCUCUUCUCCCAGUUCAAAGACCGGGUGCCAUAGCCCAAGGGAAGCCUGUGCUCAGCAGAGUCCUAUUAAGCCUUACUCAGGUUCAUGACCCUGGCUGAGCAUUAGAAUUAAUGGGGGAGUUAAAAAACAUCCACAUCAGGACGCUGUCUUCAGGGAGCCUGAGUUAACUCAACUGAGCCAGGCCUGGCAACUGCAAUUUUUGGAGUGUCCUAACGAUUACUUUGUGCAGCCAGGGUUUGGAACCACAGUUCCAGCCCUGUCCCUGGGCUGCCCCAAGGGACUGCAGGCCAUCCUUCCCGAUGUCUCUGUGAAUUGUGGGUAACCUGAGCUGUGUUUAAAGGCCUCCCAAGGGUGUUUUUCCCUGUGCCUAUAGCCCCAUGUUGGUCUUUGUGGAGGGCCCCUGAGGAGCCCCAGAGUCCACAGAAAAACCCCAAUUCCAUAAAGACUCUCAUCGGCAAUCUCCACACCGCCCGCACCGACUCCUCCAUUGUAGAUUUUUUCCUUUCCUCUUCUUUUUUCUUUUCUAAAUUCUAAGUUCCUGACAACCACUAAGAUGUCUCAGAGGCAGAAACUAGCUUUGAUCCACUGUCAGCAGAUCUGAAAACUACAAAUUUUGUUUUUUAUAAUUUCUCAAAAUCUCCCUUCUCUGAAGUCCUCC